AGGUAAUGCUGGGGACUCUAAAGGAACUGCCUACGCAAGUAGUGAGGAAGCGGGGAUGACGUCAAAUCAGCACGGCCCUUACGUCCAGGGCUACACACGUGCUACAAUGGCCGAUACAGAGGGCAGCUACCUGGUGACAGGAUGCAAAUCUCCAAAGUCGGUCUCAGUUCGGAUCGGAGUCUGCAACCCGACUCCGUGAAGUUGGAUUCGCUAGUAAUCGCGCAUCAGCCAUGGCGCGGUGAAUACGUUCCCGGGCCUU
rnacentral:rRNA from 1 species